ensembl:snoRNA
UGAAUGAUGAUGACAAUAACUGUCUAAGAAUGCUGAGUAGCUCAUACAAAUAGCAAUGUGAGGUCC